rnacentral:rRNA from 1 species
CCUACGGGAGGCAGCAGUGAGGAAUAUUGGUCAAUGGACGAGAGUCUGAACCAGCCAAGUAGCGUGAAGGAUGACUGCCCUAUGGGUUGUAAACUUCUUUUAUAAAGGAAUAAAACGAGGCACGUGUGCCUUUUUGCAUGUACUUUAUGAAUAAGGAUCGGCUAACUACGUGCCAGCAGCCGCGGUAAUACGGAGGAUCCGAGCGAUAUCCGGAUUUAUUGGGUUUAAAGGGAUUGUAGAUGGGUUGUUAAGUCAGUUGUGAAAGUUUGCGGCUCAACCGUAAAAUUGCUAUUGAUACUGGCAGUCUAGAGUACAGUAGAGGUAGGCGGAAUUCGUGGUGUAGCGGUGAAAUGCUUAGAUAUAACGAAGAACCCCGAUUGCGAAGGCAGCUUACUAAACUGUGACUGACAUUGAUGCUCGAAAGUGUGGGUAUCAAACAGGAUUAGAUACCCGAGUAGUC